UACGGGGGGGGCAAGCGUUGUUCGGAAUUACUGGGCGUAAAGGGCUCGUAGGCGGCCAACUAAGUCAGACGUGAAAUCCCUCGGCUUAACCGGGGAACUGCGUCUGAUACUGGAUGGCUUGAGGUUGGGAGAGGGAUGCGGAAUUCCAGGUGUAGCGGUGAAAUGCGUAGAUAUCGGGAGGAACACCAGUGGCGAAGGCGACUACCUGGCCUGUUCUUGACGCUGAGGCGCGAAAGCUAGGGGAGCAAACGGG
rnacentral:rRNA from 1 species